rnacentral:rRNA from 1 species
UUCCACAGCCAUAUCACUCCGCAGCCCAAGACUGGUUGCCCACUGAAGCUAAGCAGGGUUGAGCCUGGUCAGUACCUGGAUGGGAGACCUCCUGGGAAAACUAGGUUGCUGCUGGAAG